rnacentral:rRNA from 1 species
UACGUAGGUGGCAAGCGUUGUCCGGAAUUAUUGGGCGUAAAGAGCUCGUAGGCGGUUUGUUGCGUCGGCUGUGAAAAACCUGAGGCUCAACCUCAGGCCUGCAGUCGAUACGAGCAGACUAGAGUGUUGCAGGGGGAGACUGGAAUUCCUGGUGUAGCGGUGAAAAUGCGCAGAUAUCAGGAGGAACACCGGUGGACGAAGGCGGGCUCUGGCUCGACCCUGACGCUGAGGCGCGAAAGCGUGGG